rnacentral:rRNA from 1 species
UAUGACCACAUCACGUUGAAAGGCCUAUUCUCGUACAAUCACCGAAGUUAAGCAACGUCGAGCCUUGUCAGUACUUAGAUGGGUGACCGCUUGGGAAUACCAGGAGCUGUAA